AACGCACCUUGCACUCUUUGGUAUUCCGAAGAGUAUGUCUGUUUGAGUGUCAUGAAACUCUCAACCCCCUCAUUUUGUAAUGAAGUGAGUCGUGGGCUUGGAUUAUGGCUGUCUGUCGGCUUCAUUGCCGGCUCAGCUGAAAUACACGAGUAACCCAGUUUGAAAAACUGACGGCUUGACUCGGCGUAAUAAUUAUUAUCGCUGAGGACGUCUAACCUUCAAAUCGUUAGUGGUGCUUCUAAUGCAAAUCAUUUUAAGAUUUAGACCUCAAAUCAGUCAGGAUUACCCGCUGAACUUAA
rnacentral:misc_RNA from 3 species